UCUGUGUUUGUAGUUGCUGGUCCGUCUGUGUAUCCACCAUGUCUCAUCCGUGUGUUUCCCUGCUGCCAACCGUCAUCUGUUUUCUGCUCGCUGUUAUUCGUGUUCAGGUUUGUGUUCUGGUUCAGGCUCAGUAGUUUAGUUAUCCCAGUAUAGUUUAGUUCUCCGUUUACCAUUUUGUCCAUCUCUUUUGUUGUGUUUAAUAAACCACCCUCACACCUUUACAAGUGCCUGCAUUUGGAUCCUCCUUUAAUUCCCACACGGCUCAUUUCACUCGCCAUGACAGAAAUAGCCUAUAAGAAAAUGCACACUGCCUAUUUUGGCAAACUUCAAAAGAACAAAGAUCAUUUGUCAUGGUCUGUGGUCCUGUGUCUGUGGAGUCUGUGUGUGAUGCUCGGGUAGCCACACCCCCGGGCUGGGCCAUCACCGGCACACCUGCUUUCCAUCGGGGUGAUUACCUGGAGGACUACUUAACCCCGCGCUGACGGAUGCUCCACGCCAGUCCGUUUAUCACCUCACUGUGAUUUCGAUCCGGCGUCCAGUGUCUGACACCUGCCUGUCCUCCUGCUCGAUUGGAUCACCCGGUGCAUCAUCUGGCCUCGUCACUAACUCCACGGAUUCCCUUCUCACGGACUUUCCCACUUCCCUCCCGAGCCCACGGUCCCACUCCGAUUCCUCCCACGGUCCCGAUUCCGGCUUCCCCGCGUCAUUUGUUUCCCCGGGUUUUUCAGUUCCUUGUUUGCUCCUCUGGUUUUCCCGGGUCGCCUUUUGUUAUUUAUAAUAAAGUGUCUUUUCC